GGCCAGUUGGUGUAAUGGUCAGCACGUCGGAUUCUGACGGCAUAUUUCCGGAGAUGGGGGUUCGAUUCCCCCACAGGCCU
rnacentral:tRNA from 1 species